AUGAACGCUAGCUACAGGCUUAACACAUGCAAGUCGAGGGGCAGCAUGGUCUUAGCUUGCUAAGGCCGAUGGCGACCGGCGCACGGGUGAGUAACACGUAUCCAACCUGCCGUCUACUCUUGGACAGCCUUCUGAAAGGAAGAUUAAUACAAGAUGGCAUCAUGAGUCCGCAUGUUCACAUGAUUAAAGGUAUUCCGGUAGACGAUGGGGAUGCGUUCCAUUAGAUAGUAGGCGGGGUAACGGCCCACCUAGUCUUCGAUGGAUAGGGGUUCUGAGAGGAAGGUCCCCCACAUUGGAACUGAGACACGGUCCAAACUCCUACGGGAGGCAGCAGUGAGGAAUAUUGGUCAAUGGGCAAGAGCCUGAACCAGCCAAGUAGCGUGAAGGAUGACUGCCCUAUGGGUUGUAAACUUCUUUUAUAAAGGAAUAAAGUCGGGUAUGCAUACCCGUUUGCAUGUACUUUAUGAAUAAGGAUCGGCUAACUCCGUGCCAGCAGCCGCGGUAAUACGGAGGAUCCGAGCGUUAUCCGGAUUUAUUGGGUUUAAAGGGAGCGUAGAUGGAUGUUUAAGUCAGUUGUGAAAGUUUGCGGCUCAACCGUAAAAUUGCAGUUGAUACUGGAUAUCUUGAGUGCAGUUGAGGCAGGCGGAAUUCGUGGUGUAGCGGUGAAAUGCUUAGAUAUCACGAAGAACUCCGAUUGCGAAGGCAGCCUGCUAAGCUGCAACUGACAUUGAGGCUCGAAAGUGUGGGUAUCAAACAGGAUUAGAUACCCUGGUAGUCCACACGGUAAACGAUGAAUACUCGCUGUUUGCGAUAUACAGCAAGCGGCCAAGCGAAAGCGUUAAGUAUUCCACCUGGGGAGUACGCCGGCAACGGUGAAACUCAAAUGAAUUGACGGAAGGGCGAAUUC
rnacentral:rRNA from 1 species